GUAAUGCUUAGGAAUCUGCCUAUUAGUGGGGGACAACAUCUCGAAAGGGAUGCUAAUACCGCAUACGUCCUACGGGAGAAAGCAGGGGACCUUCGGGCCUUGCGCUAAUAGAUGAGCCUAAGUCGGAUUAGCUAGUUGGUGGGGUAAAGGCCUACCAAGGCGACGAUCUGUAGCGGGUCUGAGAGGAUGAUCCGCCACACUGGGACUGAGACACGGCCCAGACUCCUACGGGAGGCAGCAGUGGGGAAUAUUGGACAAUGGGGGGAACCCUGAUCCAGCCAUGCCGCGUGUGUGAAGAAGGCCUUUUGGUUGUAAAGCACUUUAAGCGAGGAGGAGGCUACCGAGAUUAAUACUCUUGGAUAGUGGACGUUACUCGCAGAAUAAGCACCGGCUAACUCUGUGCCAGCAGCCGCGGUAAUACAGAGGGUGCGAGCGUUAAUCGGAUUUACUGGGCGUAAAGCGCGCGUAGGUGGCCAAUUAAGUCAAAUGUGAAAUCCCCGAGCUUAACUUGGGAAUUGCAUUCGAUACUGGUUGGCUAGAGUAUGGGAGAGGAUGGUAGAAUUCCAGGUGUAGCGGUGAAAUGCGUAGAGAUCUGGAGGAAUACCGAUGGCGAAGGCAGCCAUCUGGCCUAAUACUGACACUGAGGUG
rnacentral:rRNA from 1 species